GUAGGCAUUAUAUUGGCUAGGCCUGACUUGCUGGUCUAUUCAUUAAGACCUUGGCUGUUUGUCUGCAGGGUGCCUCAUAACCUCACCCGUCAUAAUGGCAAGUGGGAUUUGCCGAGAGAAUAAGUUGGGGAUUCACCCCAAAUCAAUCUGGGGCUACCACAUGGUGGACUGAAGCAGGUCAUGAAGUAUUUCACUAACUAUUCUUUGGUAAUGAAAGGGC
rnacentral:lncRNA from 1 species